rfam:Canis lupus familiaris chromosome 19, whole genome shotgun sequence.
AGGAGCAACAGCCCCAGGGGCGGGGCCAGCUCUGCAGCCCUGGAGUCAGCUCCCGCAGUAGCUCCGGAGCUCUCUGUCUGCAGGGCCUGGAGGCUCCGGGGCGGG